ensembl:lncRNA
AUACAUGACAUUGAAAUGUAUGUGUGUAUUUCUAUUAUUUCCCUUAUGAUUUUUUUCAUGACGACCAAUAAAAAACAACAAUGUUACCCUUUAUGUUUUUUUUCAUGACAACCAAUAAAAAAACAACAGUGUUACCCCUUAUGUUUUUUUUCAUGACGACCAAUAAAAAACGACAGUGUUACCCCUUAUGUUUUUUUUCAUGACGACCAAUAAAACACAACAGUGUUACUCCCUAUGUUUUUUUUUCAUGACGACCAAUAAAAAACGACAGCGUUACCCCUUAUGUUUUUUUUCCAUGUUGACCAAUAAAAAACGACAGUGUUACCCCUCGUGGUUUUUUUAUGACUACCAAAGAAAAACAACAGUGUUACCCCCUAUGUUUUAUUUGAAAAAUAUCGACAGUGUUUAUUUCAUGACGGCCGAUAAAAAACGUCAGAGUUACCCCUCAUGUUUUUUCCAUGUUGACCAAUAAAUAGCGACAGGGGUACCCCUGUCGAUGUUAUUGCGGGGAUCCGAACCAGUGCUGUUUAGAGUGUUAACCUCCUAACUUAUCAAUGCACCAUCAAGACACCGAAUAAUGACAACACAAAGGUUAUACUUGACUUUAUAAUUCGCAUGAAAUAGAGAUAAGAGUCUUCCAACAGAAGACAUUAACCAGACUUGGACCCCGGUCUCCAGGGGGUUAGCUCAAAGCUCUCUCCACUUCCCACUGAGUUUUAUAAAGUAAAUAUGUCUGAGGUUAUAUAUGACAGUGCAAUAGACUUGAUAGAAUUACGUUUAAAAUUAAAGAUAUUGUGUUUUCCACAGAAAUUGAGCCACAUUCUCCAGUGGAUUAGGCAGAGUGCACUCCACUGCAUCACUGAGGCGAUGACAAUACCCAAUAAUCAAUCAUCAAUAAAGGGGAUAUACAUGACAUUAAAAUGUAUCUGUGUAUUUCAAUUAUUUCCCUUAUGUUUUUUUUCAUGACGACCAAUAAAAAACGACAGUGUUACCCCUUAUAUUUUAUUUGACCAAGACAACAGUGUUACCCUUUAAGUUUUUUUUCAUGACGACCAAUUUGUAAGAAGAUACUUUUUUUACUCUAACUCAAGUGGGUUUUCCAAUUGGAACAUUUACUUUUACUCAAGUAGAUUUUGAAGGAAGUAAUUGUACUUUUACUUGAGUAGCCUAUAGUUUUUCAGUACUCUACCCACCACUGCACCCAACUCAGGACCCGCUCACCAUCUCCCUUCUCCAUCGAGAAUGAAAACAUUCGAUAAUCGACUCCUUUCAUUGUAUGAGAGAAGGCGACCCCUAACUACAAAAAAGUAAAAAUCUAAACCAUUGACUACAUUUCUGGAUAUCGCUUACAUUGAGUGCCAGAGCGCACACCGCGGGUGGUCACUUGCAUGAUUUACCUGUCAACAAGGGCCCUGUGCUCCCAUUUGACAUUGUUAUGCUAAACAACUGCUUUGGUAGAGAGGAAAUCAAAUUAAGGAGCCAGGCCAACCCUUUAUGCUCUCUGUCCUUAUCAUGUCGAUCACCCUGAUCAGAAACACAUUGAGCUUCUCUCCCUCCAAUCGAGAGGGCCAGAGUCCCUCUAACCUGGGGGCAGAAGGGCAUUUCCUGAGCACUCCAUCACGGAUGUCGCCUCCUGUCCCCUGGUAAUGAUGCAGCAUCCCGGGAAUGGGCGUGUCAUUGUGUGCGUGUAAUGUUGAUCACUGUCGAUGCGUGGAUGCGUCCUCCAAGUAGGUAAGGAUAAGAGCAAAUGAUAGCAACACAAAUUUAAACGGAAUGACAAUCAGAAAACCAAGAUGGUUAUUUUAAUUAGGAUUAUAUGUUCAACAAAUUCUGUGAAUACAAUUAGAAUUUUAUGAUAGACAGGUUGGCAUGAGUUAAAAUAAAGCAUCCAUUUGGUAUGAUAUGUAAAAAAUUUGCCAAAUUCUUCUAAAAAAUGAUAUGAAUACGAAUAAAGAUAUCUUUAAAAAGUGGAGUAAAUAAUGUAAUCAUGCAAACCAUUUAAAAAAUGUAAAAUGGUUGGAAACAAAUUAAGUGUAUGAGUAAAACCAAUACCUAAAGUGAUACAAGUUUGAAUACAUUUGAGAAAAAAAGAAUAGCUCAGCUGUGUGUGUGUGGGUGUGUCUGUUUGUAACUUGAAAAAGUGUUUUGACUUUAUUCGAGAUAAGCUCACAUAUUGAUGAGGCUUGUACUCCGCAACUAGCCUCUAG